UGCUGGAGCGAAUAGAAGUGAGCAUGCAGGCAUGAGUAGCGAUAAUUAAUGUGAGAAUCAUUAACGCCGUAAACCCAAGGUUUCCUACGCGAUGCUCGUCAUCGUAGGGUUAGUCGGGUCCUAAGUCGAGUCCGAAAGGGGUAGACGAUGGCAAAUUGGUUAAUAUUCCAAUACCAACAUUAGUGUGCGAUGGAAGGACGCUUAGGGCUAAGGGGGCUAGCGGAUGGAAGUGCUAGUCUAAGGUCGUAGGAGGUUAUACAGGCAAAUCCGUAUAACAAUACUCCGAGAACUGAAAGGCUUUUUGAAGUCUUCGGAUGGAUAGAAGAACCCCUGAUGCCGUCGAGCCAAGAAAAGUUUCUAAGUUUAGCUAAUGUUGCCCGUACCGUAAACCGACACAGGUGGGUGGGAUGAGUAUUCUAAGGCGCGUGGAAGAACUCUCUUUAAGGAACUCUGCAAAAUAGCACCGUAUCUUCGGUAUAAGGUGUGGUUCGCUUCGUAUUAGGAUUUACUCCGAAAGCGAAGAAACUUACAACAAAGAGUCCCUCCCGACUGUUUACCAAAAACACAGCACUCUGCUAACUCGUAAGAGGAUGUAUAGGGUGUGACGCCUGCCCGGUGCUCGAAGGUUAAUUGAUGGGGUUAGCAUUAGCGAAGCUCUUGAUCGAAGCCCGAGUAAACGGCGGCCGUAACUAUAACGGUCCUAAGGUAGCGAAAUUCCUUGUCGGUUAAAUACCGACCUGCAUGAAUGGCGUAACGAGAUGGGAGCUGUCUCAAAGAGGGAUCCAGUGAAAUUGUAGUGGAGGUGAAAAUUCCUCCUACCCGCGGCAAGACGGAAAGACCCCGUGGACCUUUACUACAGCUUGACACUGCUAUUUGGAUAAGAAUGUGCAGGAUAGGUGGGAGGCUUUGAGUAUAUGACGCCAGUUGUAUAUGAGCCAUUGUUGAGAUACCACUCUUUCUUAUUUGGGUAGCUAACCAGCUUGAGUUAUCCUCAAGUGGGACAAUGUCUGGUGGGUAGUUUGACUGGGGCGGUCGCCUCCCAAAUAAUAACGGAGGCUUACAAAGGUUGGCUCAGAACGGUUGGAAAUCGUUCGUAGAGUAUAAAGGUAUAAGCCAGCUUAACUGCAAGACAUACAAGUCAAGCAGAGACGAAAGUCGGUCUUAGUGAUCCGGUGGUUCUGUGUGGAAGGGCCAUCGCUCAAAGGAUAAAAGGUACCCCGGGGAUAACAGGCUGAUCUCCCCCAAGAGCUCACAUCGACGGGGAGGUUUGGCACCUCGAUGUCGGCUCAUCGCAUCCUGGGGCUGGAGCAGGUCCCAAGGGUAUGGCUGUUCGCCAUUUAAAGCGGUACGCGAGCUGGGUUCAGAACGUCGUGAGACAGUUCGGUCCCUAUCUGCCGUGGGCGUAAGAAGAUUGAAGAGAUUUGACCCUAGUACGAGAGGACCGGGUUGAACAAACCACUGGUGUAGCUGUUGUUCUGCCAAGAGCAUCGCAGCGUAGCUAAGUUUGGAAAGGAUAAACGCUGAAAGCAUCUAAGCGUGAAGCCAACUCUAAGAUGAAUCUUCUCUAAGCUCUCUAGAAGACUACUAGUUUGAUAGGCUGGGUGUGUAAUGGAUGAAAGUCCUUUAGCUGACCAGUACUAAUAGAGCGUUUGGCUUAUCUUUAAUAAAGCAU
rnacentral:rRNA from 2 species